UACAGAGACUGCAAGCGUUAUUCGGAUUCACUGGGCGUAAAGGGUGCGCAGGCGGCCGUGUGUGUCAGGUGUGAAAUCCCGGGGCUUAACCUCGGAACUGCGCCUGAAACUACAUGGCUAGAGUAUUGGAGAGGGUAGCGGAAUUCACGGUGUAGCAGUGAAAUGCGUAGAUAUCGUGAGGAACACCAGAGGCGAAGGCGGCUACCUGGACAAUUACUGACGCUCAGGCACGAAAGCGUGGGGAGCAAACAGG
rnacentral:rRNA from 1 species